rnacentral:misc_RNA from 1 species
UGAAUGGUUUAUAACUGAAAGGGAGUAAGUAGUCAAAGUGAAACACAAAAAGAAUAUUUACAGAAUUAAUAUUUCCUGGGUUUUUUUUAAAGAAUUUAAUCUUAAUCACUUUUAUGUUUAGUGCUGAUGUUGCCAUAAAUUAUUCUAUGCCACUUUAUUUUACAAGCAAUAUUAUUCCUGUAUUAUUAAUUAUCCAUUUUUUUGUGCAUUCAUUUCUCUAUGUGAAAUGGUAGUUUUUCCAGUCUGUUAUGUUCUGCAUUUUUUAUCAAAGUGCUCUCUCUUUUCUCCUCCACUGAAGUCUGUUUAUUUAUAAUUUUAAUGGAAUGAACUUUUUGUUUAAAAUCCUCAGUUGUCUUUGAUGAUGCCAUAGUUUUUUUGUGACAUGUUGUUGUACAUGUGUACAUGUAAACGUAUGUGUAAAAGUUGAUUAUCCAAACUUUAGAAUUAUAGAUGUUGUCUGAUGAAUUUACGUUUUAGAAUGUACCAGUUACCAGUGUGUUGAAAUAUUCCUUACAGUACACAUAUGUACCAAGUUGAAAAUACAUGUAUUGCCUGUUUAAUUGUAAACCAUUAGAAGAUUGUAUCAGAUUUCACAGAUAUGAACAUGUAUAGGUAUAAAUGUAUGAACCACGUGUUUGAAUUAUUUUGAAUUUUGAUUUGACUUUAAAGAGGUUUACAUGUAUACAACUUUAAACAGUUUAAAACAUUGUGUAUGUACUAUGAUGCUGUUUCAUGAUGUUUUGUUGUACAAAACUGAAAACUUUGUCAAUAUUUUACUACCUAGUAAAUAAACAAUCUUAAAAAGC